AUGGCUACUUGCUUAUCUGACCUGGUUAGAGAUUACUGUUUAGAUUUUAUUGGUAUUCGGGAAACAAUGAAGAAGGACUUUUUCUCUAAAUUCUUGAGGAAAUUUGAUCCAGGACAAUAUUUUGAUUGGAGGUGGAUCCCUUCAAUAGGUAAAUCUGGCGGAAUUCGUUGUGGUACUAAGGAAGAUACUUUUGAAGUUAGAUCCUGUGAGACAGGUAAAUAUAUCAUGAAGCUUGAACUAUGGGAUAAGAGAAAAAAAGUGGUAUAUUGUAUUCUGGUAGUGUAUGGCUCUGCUCAUGAAGAGUAUAAAAUGGAAUUUUUGACAGAGUUGUCUGACAUGUGUAGCAAUAUUACUUGCCCUUACAUUGUAGGGGGUGACUUUAAUAUUCUUAGAUAUGCUAAGGAGAAAAAUAAGAAAACUAGAAUGAGUCAUGCUACCGAUCUCUUUAACUCCAUCAUUAAUACAUUCUGUCUUAGGGAAGUUGACAUGAAUGGUGGUAUAUAUACUUGGUCUAAUAAUCAACAAAUUCCUACCUGGAAAAAUUGGACCGUAUACUUAUGUCCAGUUCUUGGGAAAGGCAAUUUCCUUUGA
rnacentral:rRNA from 1 species